rnacentral:rRNA from 1 species
CUUCACACGUCAUAACAAGUGGUACAUACAGGAGGGCUGACCCAACCCGCGAGGGGGAGCUAAUCCCAGAAAGUGUAUCGUAGUCCGGAUUGAAGUCUGCAACUCGACUUCAUGAAGUUGGAAUCGCUAGUAAUCGCGGAUCAGCAUGUCGCGGUGAAUACGUUCCCGGGUCUU